CUUUAACAUUUUAGACUGACAAAUUAUAUGAAAAAUCAGUCAUGUUAUGCAGUAGCCUCUUAAAGGAGGCUGAAAAAAUUCUUCCAAAUGUAGCAUUUCCUCUGUUACCUGGUAUUGUUACUUUCUGUUCAGUGGAAAGGUGAGUUUUAAACAUUACAUUCUCAGGGAAGUGAGAAACCUAGGAGCCUUCCCCAAACUUCCAGAUUGCCUGCCUCUGAAAGAUAAUAAGCAGUCUAAAAGAUUCAGUAGGAUGAAUGUAGAUAAUGCUAUGUUAUUUAUUAUUAAAAUUAUUUUUCAUCAAAGUUUCAAGUGCUUUUUUCCCCCAGAUUGACAUUAUUUUCCCCAUUUGAAAAUUUUGUCUCUUUAUUCGAAAAUGUAUUGUUUCAACUUCAGGCCACACUGAGACCCAAGUUCUUAGUGUUGAUACAUUCACAGAAAUUAGUAGAGCGUGAUGUAGGCAAAAUCUUACACAUGAAUGCUUUUGGCCUUACUAAUCUAGAGCAUUUCUGCUUUAUACCAUUAAGUGCCUUUAUGCUUUUCUUUUUUUAACCAGAAGUUUGAUCUCAUUCCUUAGAGUAAAAUAUGAAUAUUACAAUUGUUUUCUGUAACUUUAAACUAUACCACUUCAGUUAAUGUUUAUAAACUGUUUUGAAAAUUUUAGUUUAACAAAGCAAUGCAAAUGCAACAUGUCAAUUUAUUUGUAUUUGUUUUAUUAAGGAUUUUUUGCUAUGCCACUUUUGCAACGAGAUAAGAGAGUGUUAAAAAAAAAAGAUACCAGCCAAUCCGCAAAGAGUUCUUAUAUUAUCUACAAAGAGAAAAUACAAGAAAACACGAUACAAAGAGGAGCUUUCAGCAUGAGAGCCAAAAAAGGGGAAUGUUUGCUUUCAAACCUUAAAAAGUUCAGUUGAAAUUUAGAACACUGCAGCAAAUGAGUGAAUUACAGUGGAACAGCUGCUGGAAAUUGUCCAGGAGAAGUGUAACCAAGAGAGCAAAUUUAAAGCAUUCUUUGCAAAAGGUGGUGUCCUGGAGUGCUGAACUGGGGAAACAGAAAGACAGAUGGAGGAAAUCAAAUGAAUCAGGGAACACGUUACCAUGGCCUGCAAAUCCCUGUUGCUUAGCUGAAGUACAGCACUGA
rnacentral:lncRNA from 1 species